rnacentral:tRNA from 1 species
GGUGUUAUGGCAGAGUGGUUAAUGCGGGGUACUGUUAAUACCUUUUCCCAAGGGUUCGAGUCCCUUUGACGCCU